GCAUUAUCGGGAGCAGUGACUUCCAUAAUGU
rnacentral:sRNA from 1 species